rnacentral:piRNA from 1 species
UAGCCUGGGAACUGUGGAAGCGGCUG